GUCCACGCCGUAAACGAUGGAUACUUGUUGUUAGAGGUAUUGACCCCUCUAGUGACGUAGCUAACGCGUUAAGUAUCCCGCCUGGGGAGUACGGUCGCAAGAUUAAAACUCAAAGAAAUUGACGGGGGCCCGCACAAGCGGUGGAGCAUGUGGUUUAAUUCGAUGCAACGCGAAGAACCUUACCCGGGCUUGACAUGAACUGGAAGAGUGGCAGAGAUGUCCUCGCUCGCAAGAGUCGGUUCACAGGUGCUGCAUGGCUGUCGU
rnacentral:rRNA from 1 species